UAAGGGAAGACAGCUUUUUUAUGUUUGAUCUCAAAUCAGGUAGGAUUACCCGCUGAACUUAAGCAUAUCAAUAAGCGGAGGAAAAGAACCUAACAAGGAUUCCCCUAGUAACUGCGAGUGAAGCGGGAAGAGCUCAAAUUUAAAAUCUGGCGUGCCUUUGGUCGUCCGAGUUGUAGUCUGGAGAAGCGUUUUCCGUGUUGGACCGUGUAUAAGUCUCUUGGAACAGGGCGUCAUAGAGGGUGAGAAUCCCGUCUUUGACACGGACUACCAAUGCUUUGUGAUGCGCUCUCAAAGAGUCGAGUUGUUUGGGAAUGCAGCUCAAAAUGGGUGGUAAAUUCCAUCUAAAGCUAAAUAUAGGCGAGAGACCGAUAGCGAACAAGUACCGUGAGGGAAAGAUGAAAAGCACUUUGGAAAGAGAGUUAAACAGUACGUGAAAUUGCUGAAAGGGAAACGCUUGAAGUCAGUCGCGUCUGCCAGGACUCAGCCUUGCUUUUGCUUGGUGCACUUUCUGGUCGGAUGGGCCAACAUCAAUUUUGACCGUUGGAGAAAGGCUUUGGGAAUGUGGCACCUUCGGGUGUGUUAUAGCCCUCGGUCGUAUACGACGGUUGGGAUUGAGGAUCGCAGCACGCCUUUAUGGCCGGGGUUCGCCCA
rnacentral:rRNA from 1 species